UCCUACGGGAGGCAGCAGUGGGGAAUAUUGGACAAUGGACCACAAGUCUGAUCCAGCAAUUCUGUGUGCACGAUGACGUUUUUCGGAAUGUAAAGUGCUUUCAGUCGGGAAGAGGUCAGUGACGGUACCGACAGAAGAAGCGACGGCUAAAUACGUGCCAGCAGCCGCGGUAAUACGUAUGUCGCAAGCGUUAUCCGGAUUUAUUGGGCGUAAAGCGCGUCUAGGCGGCAAGGAAAGUCUGAUGUGAAAAUGCGGAGCUCAACUCCGUAUGGCGUUGGAAACUGCCUUACUAGAGUACUGGAGAGGUAGGCGGAACUACAAGUGUAGAGGUGAAAUUCGUAGAUAUUGGUAGGAAUGCCGAUGGGGAAGCCAGCCUACUGGACAGAUACUGACGCUAAAGCGCGAAAGCGUGGGUAGCAAACAGGAUUAGAUACCCUGGUAGUCC
rnacentral:rRNA from 1 species